AGUGAACGCUGGCGGUAGGCCUAACACAUGCCAGUCGAACGGCAGCACAGUAAGAUCUUGCUCUUACGGGUGGCGAGUGGCGGACGGGUGAGGAAUACAUCGGAAUCUACUUUUUCGUGGGGGAUAACGUAGGGAAACUUACUCUAAUACCGCAUACGACCUACGGGUGAAAGCAGGGGAUCUUCUGACCUUGCGCGAUUGAAUGAGCCGAUGUCGGAUUAGCUAGUUGGCGGGGUAAAGGCCCACCAAGGCGACGAUCCGUAGCUGGUCUGAGAGGAUGAUCAGCCACACUGGAAGUGAGACACGGUCCAGACUCCUACGGGAGGCAGCAGUGGGGAAUAUUGGACAAUGGGCGCAAGCCUGAUCCAGCCAUACCGCGUGGGUGAAGAAGGCCUUCGGGUUGUAAAGCCCUUUUGUUGGGAAAGAAAAGCAGCAGGUUAAUACCCCGCUGUUCUGACGGUACCCAAAGAAUAAGCACCGGCUAACUUCGUG
rnacentral:rRNA from 1 species